rnacentral:rRNA from 1 species
UACGGAGGAGGCAAGCGUUAUCCGGAAUUAUUGGGCGUAAAGCGUCCGUAGGUGGUUUAGUAAGUCUGCUGUUAAAGCGCGGGGCUUAACUCCGUAUCGGCAGUGGAAACUACUAGACUAGAGUGUGGUAGGGGUAGAGGGAAUUCCCAGUGUAGCGGUGAAAUGCGUAGAUAUUGGGAAGAACACCGGUGGCGAAGGCGCUCUACUGGGCCAUAACUGACACUGAUGGACGAAAACUAGGGGAGCGAAAGGG